GCCUUGGUGGUGUAACGGUCGGCACGCUCGGUGCGUAUUCGAGAGGCCCGAGGUUCGAGUCCCGGCGAGGGCA
rnacentral:tRNA from 1 species